AUUGAACGCUGGCGGCAGGCUUAACACAUGCAGGUCGAGCGGAGAUGAGGUGCUUGCACCUUAUCUUAGCGGCGGACGGGUGAGUAAUGCUUAGGAAUCUGCCUAUUAGUGGGGGACAACAUUCCGAAAGGAAUGCUAAUACCGCAUACGUCCUACGGGAGAAAGCAGGGGAUCUUCGGACCUUGCGCUAAUAGAUGAGCCUAAGUCGGAUUAGCUAGUUGGUGGGGUAAAGGCCUACCAAGGCGACGAUCUGUAGCGGGUCUGAGAGGAUGAUCGGCCACACUGGGACUGAGACACGGCCCAGACUCCUACGGGAGGCAGCAGUGGGGAAUAUUGGACAAUGGGGGGAACCCUGAUCCAGCCAUGCCGCGUGUGUGAAGAAGGCCUUAUGGUUGUAAAGCACUUUAAGCGAGGAGGAGGCUACUGAGACUAAUACUCUUGGAUAGUGGACGUUACUCGCAGAAUAAGCACCGGCUAACUCUGUGCCAGCCGCCGCCGUAAUAC
rnacentral:rRNA from 1 species